UACGGAGGGUGCAAGCGUUGUCCGGAUUUAUUGGGUUUAAAGGGUGCGUAGGCGGCUUUUUAAGUCAGUGGUGAAAUCCAGCAGCUUAACUGUUGAAUUGCCAUUGAUACUGGAGAGCUUGAGUACAGACGAGGUAGGCGGAAUUUAUGGUGUAGCGGUGAAAUGCAUAGAUAUCAUAAAGAACACCGAUUGCGAAGGCGGCUUACUAGGCUGUAACUGACGCUGAGGCACGAAAGUGUGGGGAUCAAACAGG
rnacentral:rRNA from 1 species